UUUUUAGUGCCAAUAUGUCCCAUGCAAUAUUUGGGGCAUACUUAUACUCAAA
rnacentral:miRNA from 1 species